rnacentral:rRNA from 1 species
UACGUAGGUGGCAAGCGUUGUCCGGAUUUACUGGGCGUAAAGAGCGCGCAGGCGGUCGUUUAAGUCGAAUGUGAAAGCCCCCGGCUCAACUGGGGAGGGUCAUUCGAUACUGAUCGACUUGAAGGCAGGAGAGAGAAGUGGAAUUCCCGGUGUAGUGGUGAAAUGCGUAGAUAUCGGGAGGAACACCAGUGGCGAAGGCGACUUCUUGGCCUGUUCUUGACGCUGAGGCGCGAAAGCGUGGGGAGCGAACAGG